rnacentral:rRNA from 1 species
UACGGAGGGGGCUAGCGUUGUUCGGAAUUACUGGGCGUAAAGCGCACGUAGGCGGCUUUGCAAGUUAGAGGUGAAAGCCCGGGGCUCAACUCCGGAAUUGCCUUUAAAACUGCAUCGCUAGAAUUGUGGAGAGGUAAGUGGAAUUCCGAGUGUAGAGGUGAAAUUCGUAGAUAUUCGGAAGAACACCAGUGGCGAAGGCGACUUACUGGACACAUAUUGACGCUCAGGCACGAAAGCAUGGGGAUCAAACAGG